rnacentral:tRNA from 1 species
GGGCAAUUAGCUCAGUUGGUAGGGCAGAUGACUCUUAAUCAGCGGGUCCGGGGUUCGAGCCCCCGACCACCCCCCA